AUAUUGGAAAUAAAGGAACAUACAACAGUGUUUGUCAAAUGAAGAUGAACAUCAAAUUUUUGCUACUGGAUAUAAGAAUGUUGCUACCAGAUGGCUAAAGAAUUAUAACUCAAUAUUCCUUGAAGAUGAAAUGUUGAUAAAUUGGAAAUGAGAGAAUGGGCUCUACACUGUUGGAUUUUAAAAAAGGGGCAUUUCGGAUAUUUCAAUGGAUGCUAUAGCUAUUGCCGAUACUAUUGAAACCGUCAUAAGAGACAAAAUCUAGACUUUUAAUAUAUUGAACAGUUGAGUACCCAUAGACACGUGAGUGCUUUAGCUGCUUUGGUUGUAAAGCUAUACGACGCUUAGCACCCGAGAGAACGGGAAUUCGGAUCUCGAUUUUUUUUAGGUUUAUUAUAAUUGCUUUCAUACAUUAUUACAAAACAUUUUCUCUUCUUUUCUA